GCUCUUAAACACUGAUGGUGAUUUUAAGUGAGUUUUAAGUGUGGUGGCUAGAGAACAGACAAAGUGGUUACUAGUUUGUUGUUUUCUGUUUGCUUAUUUUGGAUAAGGGAUGUAGGGACAGGGAAAGCAGGAAAAUGAGUGAAAGUGAAGCUACCAAAAAGCUGGAGCUCUACCAGGUUACAAGUAGAGGAGAGUGAAAAGAUGCACCAGAGACAGACAGAAUUAAAACAGCUGGAAAUUGAUGAACAAAAGGCUGCACAUCAGAGAGCCAUGCAACUGAGGCAGCUAGAGGCUGAAGAAGCCCAAGAAUGGAGAAAACUAGAGGCUGAUAAGGAAACAGAAGUUAGCCCUGGAACUGACAGACAAAGAACUGGAGGAAAAAGAGGAAGCAUCAACGGGCUGUAAUGGAGUGAAAUAGACAGAACCCCACACUGGGGCUCCACCUCUCCAAAAAUCCACAAAUGGGAGUGGUUGUUCUCAGCAUACAGUGAGUCUGGGGAUAUUGCUGAAUAUUUCAUCACCUUUGAGAGGCUGUGUAUGCUCAAUGUGAUUCAUGAGGAUCAAAAGAUGACCACUUUGUUUGCAAAGUUGACUGGGAGAGCUCUGGAUAUUCAGUAGGAUGUCAAUUGAUGAUGCUUCCAAUUAUGGUAAAUUUAAGGAAUUGGUUUUAAAACAGUUUUGGAUUACACCUGAAAUUUAUAGAGUAAAAUUUAGAAGCCUUAAGAGAGGGGCUGGAUUAAGUAAUGUGGCUUAUGUGAACCAAAUUAGAGACCUACUGGAUAAGUGGGUAACGGGAAAAGGUAUUACAAGCUUUGAAGCAAUGUGUGAUUUGUUUGCUCAGGAACAGUUCCUGAAUAUGUCUAAUGAUGAUGUAAAACAGUGUUUAUAGGAUAAAGAGGUAGAGAUGGUUGAAGAACUUGCAACUUUUGCAGGUAAAUUUGAACAAUCCCAAGCAUCUAUUCGGAAUAAAUCACAGGCAGAGGGGUUUAAAUUUGGUGAGAUGCAAGGUCCCCGUUUUACCGCUGGGGAGGAGGAGGAGGAUGGAUAGGAGGCUGAAUGCUCACUUCCCCAAGUUCACUUCUCCUGUCCUCAUCUCAAAUCUGUAAAAGCAGAACAGCCCAUAAGGUGCUAUCAUUGUAAUUCCACUGAGCACCUGAGGAAUAAAUGCCUUGCGCUGAGUAGGAACAGGCAGCAGGUAACUCAUAGAAAUGCUGCUACCCAGAGCACAGAGGCUCCUCAGGCCAUUGCCACUUAUUUUAAGGGGUUUGUAAAGUUUGCCACUGCAGAACCUGGCAAGAAGCACUUAAAGGCAAUCAGAGUAAAUGACAAAGAGCUCCCUGUAUGGAGAGAUACUGGUGCAGACAUUUUUAUGGUCAGAAGAGACCUGGUUCAGGAGAAAGAUAUACUUCCAGGACAGAUGGUAGAGCUUUUGUUAGUAGGAGGUCACAAAAUCCCUGUGCUUUUGGCUAAAGUGCACAGGGAAGCUCAGGAUUUGCAAGCUGAAUUAAUCAUUGUGGCUGUCUCUCAUAAUCCUACACAAAUUAUUUUGGGUAAUGACUUUUUUUAAUGUGUCUCUGGCUGUCCAGGGGUCUGUCAGCAGCAAGGAGGAAUCUUAUGCUGAAGCCGCAGUGGGAAAAAUUAAGCUACAAAAACUGCUGAGGAAAUGGGAGAGUGUCUCUUUAUUUCCUCUGCAGCCGUGCAAAGGAGUUUGCUGGGAUGGUUGAGAACUGCUCCUGUCCCGGGGCUUUUCCCUCAGAGGAUGGGAAUGUUUUGCCUGCUAGUAGGAAGACUGCUCAGGUUGCUGGCUGGCAGGAAGUUGCAGUUAAGCAAGGAACAGAACUCACUCUAAAAUGCAUAGAAAAAUGUGUCCUAGAGGAAAGCCCAGAAAAAAGUGAUGAAGUUCUGCAGUGGGUGUGGAUUCCAUGAGCUCUGUAACUGGAGGCAAACCCAAUUCAAAGAAGGAGAAGGGUAAAAUGCUUACCAGUGAAGGGUCUGCUCUGGCUGUUAGCUGUGAGCCCACAGCUGAACAGGGGAUAGAUUCCUCUCUAGGGAGCACACAGGUGUGUGCCUUAGAGGAAGCUAAGGAGGAAUGUGGGGGGAGUACAGGAAUGUCUGCUCACUAAUUACAGGGAAGGGUUUGCCCCGGAGGAUUUUACUGGAAUGGCAUCUGUGCUCUCAGGCACCCAACCUGUGGCUCAGGUUUUAAGAGGAAACUGUGUAACUGUUCUCCCAAAAGGGAGCAACCAUACAGCUGACCCCUUUGCAACAGAGAGAGGUGCCCCAAUCCUGGUUCCACUAUUGCAAAAUGUUGUUCCUGCUGUACUUGUGAAAACUAACUCUUUCUCUUUAAGGCAGGAUAAAAGCCUUUUCAAUAGCCCUGGUGUCAGUGAAUAUGCUAAUGACCCACCUGAGAAAGGGGAGGAGGCAGCCAUUUCUCCGGCAGUAUUCACUCGCCCUGCUGUGUGGCGACAUGGAAAUGAAUAGGACAGACUGAAGGAGUUUGGUUCUGUCCUCCAGUGUACUGGUGAUUUCUUCAGUUUCUAUGUUGUUCUCAAAUUUUAUCAUGAUUGAACUUACAAGAAAAGAAACCCUGAACAAAUACAUCAAGCAUCCACAUAUGGAGUAGAGAGUCACUUGGCUGUUUUUGAGCUAUAAACUGAUCCAAAAAGCCUCUCGACUCAAGAACAGUCCUGGACCAGACUAUGACUAAUAAGAAGCAUCAUUAAUUGAAGACAGAUACAUCAGCAAUGUUUCAGAAGCAACUCCACAGAGUACCUGGAUGGCAGAUAGAGAUCCUCUGAAAUAGGGGUGUGUGAA